UCAAACCCAGGACCCUUUGGUCUGCAGGCCGAUGCUCUAUCUACUGAGCCAAACCGGUUAGGGCUGGAGCUCAUCUCUUCUUCAAAGCCUCGUCAGGCUGACCCCAACCCGGCCCCACUUGUAAAUGCCCCUCCCUCACCUCCUGCCCAGAUUUAGGGGGGCAGGAGAGCACCUGCCUCCAAGACUACAGACCAGAUGUGAAGUCGUCAUUCUGCACUCCUCUGAGGACCUGGGGAGCGAGGCGAGGGAGAGAGAAGAAAAGCAAGGCUUUUUGUCCCCACUCCCCCCGGGUUGCCAGUUGGAAUGGACAAGCCCAAUUCUCAAUCUGUUUGGGGUGAUGGACCCCCCAGCAUCACCCUGGGAAUUUGAAGAUAAAGAAGCCUGUCUGAGUGCUGUCUCUGAAUUCAUGGGGGGACCUCCCAGAUACCCCCACUUCCAGGAUAUGAUAACAACACCUCUGCCGGCCCAGCCCAUGCCGGGGAAUGUGUGUUUGGAGAGAGGCAAGGAAAGCGAGGGAAAGGUUGAGUGCCUUUUUCCCCUCCCUCCCGUUAGCGUGGGUGACACCGGUGAGAAGCGAGCAGCUGACCCGGGUUUGAAUUUAGAGUGUUCAUUAAUACGAUAUUAUGCCAUAUGCUCCCGCACACUGUCUCCCUCUAAUGCAGCCGCCAAUUUGCUGAGCAGCCCUAAUUAGUAAUGGUAUAAUGAGAGUAUUCAGAGGGUAAUGUGGUGGGUGGGGAUGAGAGCGAGGGGACUGCUCCUGGCCAGUGGGGGAGGGACAGGGGCUGGCUACAGAGAUUUGGGGCUGGGGGCACGGGAUUCACGGCCAGGGGUCAUCUGGAUCCAGGGCAACUUGAGGCCCAGGGAGCAGGUGCCUUCCUUCCCUCUGCCACCCCAAUUCCUUAGCAGAGGCUCAAGGCUGUGGAGUGGGCUGGGCAGCAAGGGGCAGACAGGUGCAGGGAGAGGAGCGAGAACCUGGGUCAAAGAGGAAGGAACGAGCGGUCCUUUGUUUUCCACCCGGAGGUGGACGCUAGAGGAACGGCAGUGGUGGUGCUUUGAGUGUGGUGUGUGUAUGUGUGUGUGUGUGUGUGGGGGGGUGCAAACACUAAAUCUUUUGAGUCUUUAUUAUGUGCCAGGCACUCUGCUGGCCCCUCGGAAUCACCCUGCCAGGAGGUGAGACCAACACCAUUUUUCAGACAGGGAAACUGAGGCUCAGAGAGGGUCAGAGGUCACUCAACUGGCAAAGGAAUAGAGGACUGGCAGCCAGGACCGCCCGACUGCAGAGCUAGAGAAGCUCAGCUGGACCAUCCCCGUGAGGAUGCUGUUGGACCAUCUUUGUGAGGAGGAUGCUGUGGCCAUGGUGACGGGGGAGCAGAGAGCAUGAUGGAGAGUGGGAGCCGCUGGAGCUCCUGGAAUCGGGCAGUGGCAUCAGAAAGCUGUGCUGAGGGGGACGUGGAGGCAGGGAGACCCAUGAGCAGACCAUCGCCACGGUCCAGAGCGGCCAAUCCUCAGCCUCUAGGAACAAGGACAAGCAGCGUGCCCAUGUUCCAGUGUGGGAUCGGUUCCCAAACCUGAGAGGGACAUAAAUUUUCCCCAGCAGCACCCCGGAAACGGAGAGUAGGAAAAGGGGCAACAUACUGAUGUGUAUGCAUGCCAGACCCACUCCUCACCAAGGCUCUGGGAUGAACAGAUUCGAGCCCAAAUCCAGGCCAGACCACCAACAUGCAGUGUGACCUCGGCCCCCGGCCCCCGCUGAUAAAAUUGAAGUGGAAAUGAAGUUGAAUGCUCAGAAGGAUCCGUCAGAUGACGGGGUGGGGGUGGUGCUUGCCAGGCAGCUGCUCCCUCAGCAGCCGCCCUUGGCACUGCCCUUGGCCAGGCCGGAGGGUGAGGCUGCAGGGAGGGAGGGCGCCCCCCCCCCCACACACACACAAAGGCCCUCCCCAGAGGUUACGGACCACCGUCCUGGUUAUCAUUUACCCACCUCGGUAGUGGAGCAGAAAUUGGCUGCACGUUUAUUGAGUACUUAUCCGUUCCAAGCUCAAAGCCAAGUGCUUAAGAUGAGUUAUUCUCCUAUUUAAAGCCUCCCCACCCCGGCUCCGCCCCCUGAGGUGCAUCUCGUGGUUGCCCCCAUUUUCACGGAUGCAAACACAGAGGCACCCAGAGUUGCAGCUGGCCCAGGGACAGCUAACAGAGAGUGGCCAGAUUCACACCCAGGCAUCUACACACUGCAAACUGCAGCUGGAACUGACAGCGCUAUAGUGGCCCUCCACCGGGAAACCCCAAGGACAGAAGCGGGGCGCUGGCAGCUGUGCACACCUGUGAUGAGGCAGCCUUCCAGCCACGAUCUCCCUUGGACUCAGCAUCUUGAUAGGAUCACCCCACCCGUGAACUGGGGCAGAGGCCAGUCUCUCAGACUUCAGAUCUGUUUAGGAUGAAGUCUCUGCUGCACCAGCUUUAGGGGAGGGGGGUGUCUGGAGGGAUCGUUGGCGCUUGUAACACGAUUUGGUUAUUAUUAACCUGUAUUCAUUUCUGCUUUAUUUAUUUGUAAACUGGCCCCUACCUACCUCACCCCUACCACAGCCUGCCUGCUCCCGGCCACACCACCAGCGCUCAGUGCCUGCAAGGCCUCCAGCUCAUUUCUCUCCCCUCAGCUUGGAAUGCUCUUCUUCUGGGCAACUUUUUCAUUUUUCAAGGCUCAUGAUCUUUUUUUUUUAAUGAUCUUUUAAAUAAUCAUUUUAAUGGUGUUGAUAUACCAGCAUUUCUACACUGUAUUUUUUUCUCUCUCAAUUGGACCAGAAUGGCAGCUGGUACUCAUUUUCUCUUUUCACAGCAGCUCCUCCUUUAGAGGACAUUUGAUAAUAUUCCUUUUUGCUGAGUGGGAUGGCCUUGCUGAGCCAUUUUUAAAAAAUAUUUUUUAAUUGAUUU